rnacentral:rRNA from 1 species
GACAGAGGGGGCAAGCGUUGCUCGGAAUUACUGGGCGUAAAGGGCGCGUAGGCGGGAUGGCAAGUCGGUCGUGAAAUCCCUCGGCUCAACUGAGGUACGUCGAUCGAUACUGCCGUUCUUGAGGGUUGCAGAGGAGACUGGAAUUCCCGGUGUAGCGGUGAAAUGUGUAGAGAUCGGGAGGAACACCGGUGGCGAAGGCGGGUCUCUGGGCAACUCCUGACGCUGAGGCGCGAAAGCGUGGGGAGCAAACGGGG